CCUCCUCCCACCUCAGUCGCCGCCGCCGCCUCCUCCUCCUCCUCCCACCUUAGUCGCCUCCUAGGAGAGCUCGACACGAUGGGGUGGCCGUGGAGCGCGCCCCGUCCGGAGAGACAAGGCGGCUCCCGAGCAGGGCAUCCGACAGCGCUGGCUUCUCCUCCCCUGCGCCACCGCUGCCCACCCCUCCUCAUCUCGUGCGGGCACGGAGGUGAGCUUCUCCGACGGCGGCGGCGACCUGCAGUCAAAGGGUGAUUGCGACGGCGCUCGAUUUGAUCUACAGGAGAGAGAGAGAGAAGAUGAGAGGGAGAGAGAGACGGAAGGAGAGGAGGUAGAAAUAGAGAGGAAAGAGGAGAGGGAUGUGCGGCGGCCGACGGGAGAGGGUCACCGAAAGGAACAACUGGUCAUCGUUCACACCGCGUUGGGCCAGAGAUGGCUCUGUACAGCCCACACGUCUGCAGAGUACACAAGUGGUUGCCCUUGAAGUCUCCUCCUUGCCCCGCUUAUUCAUUAAGUUUGCAGAUAAAGGAUGUGAUUCCAGCAAGACAGUGACGAUGGCGAUGACAAGUGAGAUUUAUGUUAAGGAGUAUUAGCAUAUGCUCAUAGGAUCACUAGAAGCAUAUAAAGGUAUCCACAAUGAUGGUUGCUUUCUUAUCGACAAAGAAUUGAAUUAUAAUUAUAGACGGUAAGAGUAGUACCUUUAUAAUCAUAGCUGUAUGCAAUGAUCCAUCAUGUAUUUCUGUUUAAAACCGCAACCCGUAAUUGUUUGAUGUC